CAGUGUUGGUGCUAGGAAAGUUAACCUCGCCUGCGAGCACUUUCGCCAGUUCUACAAGGCAAAAAACAAAGAAGGGUGUCUCGCGGCAUUGAAUCUUCUUAGGAACGAGUUCUAUGAUGUGCGCGGCAGGCUACAGGCCAUUAUGCAGUUGGAGCAGCAGAUUGCAGCCUUGGGUCCUAAGUAGCAGUAAUUGAAGCCAAAAGAGCAUAGCCCCGUGUGAUCUGGCAUGAUGCGGGGGAUGUAUCUCUCAAGAUGUAGUCAGCAUUCAGCAGUUGCUGGGCUUUUGGAGGGGGAAGCGUGGAAUCACAUGACGAUUCUUGCUUUGGCACUCCGGGCUCGCGACCACCCUGCAAAUGGAACUUGUUGUCUUGUGUGUCGAUGUCUUUGUCUAUCAACACUAUAUACUCGUGUGUCAUGGAUGGCCUGUUGGCUAUGCGUAAACUCUAUAUUUGGUUGGUUUCUUUUUGGC